UGGUAAACGUAGCUCGGUGGUACUCUGAAACGUGAAAACGAUCGUUGGUAAGGUGUUCAACAUUUUUAUAUCCAGCUUUCUUGAAAACACAACGAGAACUGCCGCUCUCCGAUCAUCAUCGAAUUUUGAAAAUCAAAAAAUAAGAUUCAAUGGACAGGAAAAUGCGAGUUACCCCGGUGCUAGGUUUAUGGCUACUGGCUUAUUACUGGGUGCUUUAUUAUCAAAGACGUGCGUGCAUUCUAAGUAUACGAUCGAAAAUCAAAGUUUUGUUACCGUAACCUACUAAUCGGUAUAAGAUAAUAAAUAUUCGCAGCACGUCGACAAAUGGACGAUAUUAAUAUGAAUACUUAUUAAACAUCAAAAAUUAAUGAUCAUCAACGUUAACGGUCUAUCGCUCGUGCGCAACUUUCUACCAAAACCAAACAACAACACCAAACCGGCAAGAUGAGCGAAGGACCGAAUCUUUUAUCAUAUAUAUAUAUUAUAUAUAUAUAUAAUAUAUAAUAUAAUAUAUACAUACAUAAAUAUGCAUAUAUAUAAUCAUUUAUUAAUAUAUAAUCAUUUUUUCUUCUGAAUUUGUUCAAACCCAAGUAGUUACUUUCAAUUAGAACACGAUUCGCCAGUGAAUGAAAAGGGAACAAAGGAAACAAUAUUGGUCAAGGAAAGCGCAAAAGGAAGCGAACCCUGUUUCGUAGGUGUGUAUGUGUGUGACAUCAUUAUAAGGCAACAACAACAAAAAAAAGUUACGCAACAAUCCAAGAAAAAAUCCUUUCAACGUGUUGGCAAAACAACAGCAAACCAUCAAUGACAAACGUGUACGAGUGAGAAAUACUCUUUCGGCACACGGCACACGAUUAUCUAACACCAACGUUAGUACCUAGCUUUUACGUGAAUUAAAGAGAGAAACAACCAAAAAAAAAAAAAGAGAAA